rnacentral:rRNA from 1 species
CCUACGGGAGGCAGCAGUCGAGAAUCAUUCACAAUGGGGGAAACCCUGAUGGUGCGACGCCGCGUGGGGGAAUGAAGGUCUUCGGAUUGUAAACCCCUGUCAUGUGGGAGCAAAUUAAAAAGAUAGUACCACACGAGGAAGAGACGGCUAACUCUGUGCCAGCAGCCGCGGUAAUACAGAGGUCUCAAGCGUUGUUCGGAAUCACUGGGCGUAAAGCGUGCGUAGGCUGUUUCGUAAGUCGUGGGUGAAAGGCGCGGGCUCAACCCGCGGACGGCACAUGAUACUGCGAGACUAGAGUAAUGGAGGGGGGACCGGAAUUCUCGGUGUAGCAGUGAAAUGCGUAGAUAUCGAGAGGAACACUCGUGGCGAAGGCGGGUUCCUGGACAUUAACUGACGCUGAGGCACGAAGGCCAGGGGAGCGAAAGGGAUUAGAUACCCGGGUAGUC